CCCUUAGAUGUUCUGGGCCGCACGCGCGCUACACUGACGGAGGCAGCGAGCGUGUCCUUCGCCGGCAGGUACGGGCAAUCUUGCGAGUCUCCGUCGUGCUGGGGAUAGAUGGUUGCAAUUGUCGAUCUUGAACGAGGAAUUCCUAGUAAGCGCGAGUCAUCAGCUCGCGCUGAUUACGUCCCUGCCCUUUGUACACACCGCCCGUCGCUACUACAGAGUGCCCGUGUCCAAGAAACGGUCGGACCUGUGCGGCCUCUCCGGGCGACCGGAGGGCCGUUACGGGGAAGACCCUUUAUUUGACGCGGGUCGAUGAAGUAAAAGUCGUAACA
rnacentral:rRNA from 1 species